CGGAGCAUGGCGUAGUGGUUUGAGUGUUGGACCACAGCUCCAGGAGACCAAGGUUCGAAUCCCUGUUCAGUGA